UUAGAGAAAACCAAAAAAAAACAAACAUUUGACGCGUGUUUACUUUUUUUUCCGUUUGUCUCUCUCUCGUUAUCGUCGAUGGCGAAACGAAAGAAGAAAAUCGAUUUGUGAUCGAUUUGAGAUCGAUUUGGGAGGAGAAUCGAGAAGAAUUACAAAAGAAACUCGUCUCUACUCCGCCGUAAUCAACAUCUACACCGCGACUGGGAAUCAAUAAUCAAUCGGAGUUUCGUGAACCAAAUCGAGCGUAUGAUGAAACAAUGCUAACGAAUAAGGUCUAACGUCGCAGCUGCAAAAAGGUCUUGCUGUUCUUGUUGUUCUCUUCCUUUGCCCCAUCAACAAAAAGAGUGAAGAAGAGAGAAUCGAGCAAGACAAGGAGAUCAAGGAAAAUGUUAGUUUGUUCUUACAUGAGAAGGAACCUUUGUUUCUGUUAAUCUACUUCUCUCAUUCUGUGGUUCUUUGUUGGAUGAAUAAAAUUGAUUAGGCGCAUAGUGCUAAAGUCUACUUCAUGAAACAACCUGUAACUUGUGGAUCUUUAAUCUGGUUCAAUUUGUUUCAUUCUCUGUUUUGGA